rnacentral:tRNA from 1 species
ACCUAAAUAGUUUAAUCAAAAUAUUGAUUUGUGGUGUCAAAGAUAUAAUCAGUUAUUUUAGGUC